AGUAGUUGCUCGUGGCUAGGACGAACGCUGGCGGCGUGCCUAACACAUGCAAGUCGAACGGAGCUAGAUGCUGAGGACGUAGCUUGCUAUUGAAUCUUGUUUAGCUUAGUGGCGGACGGGUGAGUAACGCGUGAGCAACCUACCUUUCAGAGGGGGAUAACGUUUGGAAACGAACGCUAAUACCGCAUGAUAUUAUUGGGCAGCAUUGCCUGAUAAUCAAAGGAGCAAUCCGCUGAAAGAUGGGCUCGCGUCCGAUUAGGUAGUUGGCGGGGUAACGGCCCACCAAGCCGACGAUCGGUAGCCGGACUGAGAGGUUGAACGGCCACAUUGGGACUGAGCACGGCCCAGACUCCUACGGGAGGCAGCAGUGAGGGAUAUUGGUCAAUGGGGGAAACCCUGAACCAGCAACGCCGUGUGAGGGAAGACGGUUUUCGGAUUGUAAACCUCUGUCCUCUGUGAAGAUGAUGACGGUAGCAGAGGAGGAAGCUCCGGCUAACUACGUA
rnacentral:rRNA from 1 species